rnacentral:rRNA from 1 species
UACAGAGGUCCCAAGCGUUGUUCGGAUUUACUGGGCUUAAAGGGUGCGCAGGCGGUCGGUUAAGUCGGGUGUGAAAUCCCAAAGCUCAACUUUGGAACUGCGCCCGAAACUGAUCGGCUCGAGGGUUGGAGAGGAGACUGGAAUUCACGGUGUAGCGGUGAAAUGCGUAGAUAUCGUGAGGAACACCAAUGGCGAAGGCAGGUCUCUGGACAACACCUGACGCUCAUGCACGAAAGCCAGGGGAGCAAACGGG